CCUACGGGCGGCAGCAGUGGGGAAUAUUGCACAAUGGGGGAAACCCUGAUGCAGCGACGCCGCGUGAGCGAAGAAGUAUUUCGUUAUGUAAAGCUCUAUCAGCAGGGAAGAAAAUGACGGUACCUGAGUAAGAAGCUCCGGCUAAAUACGUGCCAGCAGCCGCGGUAAUACGUAUGGAGCAAGCGUUAUCCGGAUUUACUGGGCGUAAGGGGAGCGUAGGCGGCCCGCCAAGUCUGAUGUGAAAUACCGGGGCUCAACCCCGGGACUGCAUUGGAAACUGGCAGGCUGGAGUGCCGGAGAGGCAGGCGGAAUUCCUAGGGUAGCGGUGAAAUGCGUAGAUAUUAGGAGGAACACCGGUGGCGAAGGCGGCUUACUGGACCGUAACUGACGUUGAGGCUCGAAAGCGUGGGGAGCAAACAGGAUUAGAUACCCUAGUAGUC
rnacentral:rRNA from 1 species